AAUUGAGCCUGGGAAGAAGGGAAGGGGUGGGAGGAAGGUGUUUUAAGAUUUAUCUUUUAUUUCUCAUUAUUCUACCCUGAUUUGAUUGGUAAGAAAUGAAACUAAUUUUAAGUCUGUCUGG